rnacentral:lncRNA from 1 species
GCCAGAUCUUAUAAGCCUCAAUUUCCUUCAGAAAGCCUCUUUCCAAUCUGGGAGAUUAAUUAAAGGAUGGAGCCAGUUCCAGCCACAGGCUGCACCAACACCCAUGGAAGGGGAUUGGAUGGUGAAGGAUGGGGAUUGUCAUGCUGGACCCAGAAUCCCCAAAAUAACUUUUCAGGAUAUGCCAGAUUCAGUGUGGCAUGCCACACUGAAUCUGCCACAGAACCUGAAUCCUGUGGCAGAAUCUCCAGCAUGCCACCAUGUUACCACUGGACUAUCUGGCUGCUACAAUUAAACUAUUGUAGAAAUGUUAAAAGAAAAUAGUCUGAGAUUAUUUAAGACACAGUUGAAGGCUGUUAUUUGUCAAUUGUUGAUAGGUGAAG